GUCGGAGUGGUGGAAUGGUAGACACGAAGGACUUAAAAUCCUUUGACCUUAACAGUCGUGAGGGUUCGAGUCCCUCCUCCGACA
rnacentral:tRNA from 1 species